GGUGAACAAUGGUGAUUUGAGUCUGAGACGAUUUAGUUGCCAUUUACACGUAGUUGUAUUGCCCUAUGGCAGCGAUUAAAGUGGUCAUUUAAGAAGACACUAAGCAAGUUGUGCAGCAAACAUAGCAGUCAGCUGGGGCUUGAUUUUUGGAAGGUGUGAAAACGGCACAGGAGACGUUUUACAGGUGGAAGAAACACCUGCUUUUAUAGGUCAAAGACAAAGAAGGCCUGUUAGAGACCCUCUAACAAGCACAAGAAGGUUUUUCUGGUAAAAAAAACUGACCAGAAAAACAUUCAGACUCGGUGGUCAUAAGACCAAGCCUUACGCCAGGUCAGAGACAGAGCGCGAUGCGUGUGGAGAACUUGGCACAACCUGAAUAACACUGGACAAACACAGGCACAGAACCCCUCUGCAUGAUGAGGACGAUGACGAGCCCAUGACAUUUCUGGAAUAUUUACGCCGUAUAGAGCAGGAAGAAUACAAAAAACAAGCAACUACAAUCCAGGCUGUGUGUGAUAGUGGAGAGCUAGACCCCCUUUUUUUUUUUUUUUCCUUUUUUCCAACAACUGGUCACCUCAGGGUGAGUGUGUGCCUGGUGAUUUUAUCAAUGUUUUUGAGCACAGUGUAUCAGACUUUAAUCUCCUACCUACCAUACCCAGGUGCAUGAGUAUUGAUGAUGAUGAUGAUGCACGCAUAGAUUUUUGAAGGUUAUAUAACAGAUUCUCAACUAGCAGAGUUUUACGAUGCCUUCAUCAAUACCACCGGUGCUCCGCUUUCUGACCAGAGUUCUAGCGACCCAACAGCCGAUAACGUGAUAGAAGCUAAACUUAACAACAACAACAAGCAACACAUGAAUACUUACAAGAGAUAGCUGGAGCUCUAACUAAGGUUAACGUGGCAAUAAACAAAAUGUGCUGUCUAUUAGAUAAUAUCUGUACCAGGAUUUUUAAUGUCUGACUUUUAAAGCCCUAGCCAUGGACCCUCUUAAUAAGUUAUUCAAACACAGUAAUGGUACCGCUAAGCCUGUUACAUGGUUUGACUCUGAGGUAUUUAAUCAGAGGACUGAAGAAAUGAUAACGAAAUGUGAUAUUUUGCACAGAAGACUGAAUAGUAUGUGUAUCUGAGAACGCAACCCGUGCCACACCAUCUGAUGCCGCUCCUGCGGCUUCUGCUGCUCCUGCACACAUCACAGUACAUCCCCAUUCCUCUAAUGUGAUCACUAUUCCUCCUCAUGAGCCCUCCAACACUGACAAUGUGUUAGGUGUUAAUCCUUCACAGACAAGAGCUGCCCUCACCAAACCCACACGGGUUUGGUAAACACAGUCAUACCUGCUUCUAAUGCAAAAGAAUUGCGUGAGCGUAUUGAUUUUAGAGACAUAAGCGUGGAUAUUCCAGACCAGGUACCAGCGAGGGUAAGAGAUUGCGUAGCCAAUGUCAUAGAUAGGGCAGUGUCUGGCUCUCAGCCGGGCAAAUGUUGUUUUGAGAGGCCCUUCCCUGGCUUCUGAUGUACAGACUGUUUUAAAUGCUGAAGAUGAGUACGAUGCAGAUCUGUGUUUUGAUGAAAUAGCACAGGUCAUGCAGAGUAAUGAUGGUUCUAUAGGUGAUGACGAAUUAGUUUAUUGUCACAGUAGCGCAGAACAGUAACGGUGGUGCCCGUUUAAGACUGGCACGCACACCAUAUGACAACAUACUGUCAAAGAAAGGUAAAGAUUUGUACAUAGCAAACAAUGCCCCCAACAACUUGUGCUAUGUAAAAGGCAUUACAGGCACCCAAAAUUUCAUGGGUACAUGUUCAUAGCACAUAACGCACCUGGCUUUGAUAACUACAUACUUCUGGAGUACUUUGUCAAGCAGGGCAUAACACCCAGUAUCACAAUGAGAGGGAGCUGUGUGAUUUUGAUGUAUGACAUGGAUUAUGACCAGUGAUGGAUCGAUUCAUUCGGCUUUUUGUCCAUGGGACUUGAUAAAAUACCCGUCGCUUUAGGUUUUGCAGACCUGGAGAAGGGUCACUUCCCACACAAAUUUAAUACAAGAGGUAAUGAGUAUUAUGUGGGACCAUACCCAGACCCCUCCUUCUACGGCUAUGACAGGAUGUCUGAAAGUGGUGAGGUUUAUGGAAUGGUACCAGACAAUCUCCCAGUCUCCCUCUGAUUUUUCCAUGGUGAAUCGAGGCGUUACUGUGUUAACGAUGUUGAUGACAUGCUUGCUCUUAUGUAUGAUGGUGCAUAUGUUGACCAGAAUAAGAUGUUUUCUAACUUCUCUAUUGAAUGGCUUCAAUAUGUAGCCCACACUACCAACACAGUGGUAAAACACGUGCUCCGAGGAGCCGAACAGAGAGUUGGUCUGUAUUUUGUGGAUGGUUUUGACCUCACAAACAAUACGGCUUAUGAAUUUGCAGGGUGUUUUCACCAUGGGUGUGUUAAAUGCUACCCCGAGAGUGAGGUUAACCCUGUCAGCAAGGCAUCCUACGGACUGCUGCAUCACGCGUUUUGUGAUAAAGUGAAUGCGUUGAGAUCACAACACAGUGUGAGCGUGGUCGUGAUGUGGGAGAGUGAAUGGGAGGCAUUGAAGUAGACAGCCCCCGCAGUUAUGACAUUCAUGCGCACAUACAGAAAGCCAGAACACCUGAACCCUCGAGACGCCCUCUUUGGAGAGUGCGCCAACACCAUGAAACUGUACCACAAGACUACUUGUGAUGGAAAAAAUACGUUACUAUGACUUUACCAGCCUCUAUCCCACAGUGCAGUCUAAAAAAGAUUAUCCUGUCAGGCACCUGCACAUCAUUUACAACAACUUUGACAGGCUGGAAAAUUAUUUCAGCUUUGUUAAAUGCUCAGUACUCCACCUAGAGGUCUGUUUCACCCAGUCCUUUCCUACAGAUGCCACAACAAACUGAUGUUCCCACUCUGUAGCAUGUGUUCUGAAAAGCGGAACCAGCAGACAGCAUGCCUGCACACUGGCACUGAGAGGAUGUUGGCGGGCACCUAGUUGUCAUUUGAGCUUGAAAAAGCACUUGAGAAAGGAUACAGGAUUGUUUCUAUUGAUGAGGUGCAGCAUUUUCUCAAUAAGAGAGAUACAUUGUUUAAAGUUUAAAAAUUAAACAGGAGGCUUCAGGCUAUCCAGAACAUAUUAAAACCCCUGAUGACCAGCAGAAGUACACUGAUGAGUGUUAUGAGGAGGGAAUAAUGCUAGACUCGACCAAGAGAUGUGUAGAUAAAGCUGUUAGAAACUGUAACAAACUUCUGCUAAACUCGUUAUGGGCGCUUUUCAGCAUGAGGGCAAACAUUCAUCUGAGUUAAUCACGGACCCUUCUAGAUUCAGCCAGUUAAUGUUUAGUGACCAGUAUGACAUACGUCAUUUUAGUUUCAUCUCUGAUGUUGCCAUAGUGCAGUGGUGCCAUGCUGGUGGUAGAGCAGCCCGUGUGAAGGAUGUUAAUGUCUUUGUGGAUGCCAUGACCACUGCACAUGCUAGACUGAUGCUGUAUGAUUUGCUAUACAAGCUACAGCAGCGCGUGUUGUAUUGUGACACGGGCAGUGUCAUUUUCACAGCACCCCCUGGCGACUGGAUGCCGCCUCUAGGACCUUUCCUCAGGGAUCUCACAGGUGAACUAGAUUCUAGAGAGGGGGGUGCGGAUUUAGUCGAUAGUCGAAUUUGUGUCCGCAGGGCCAAAAUGCUAUGCAUAUCACACCUUGCAGGUCAAGACACACAGGUUAAAUGUAAAGGUGUAAAACUCAAUGUGCUAAACUCAAAAGUUGUCACCCACGACUCCUUGAAAGGAUUAGUCCAUGUGUUUGUAGCCAAUCAGACAUCAUACGCACACCUAGUAGCUGUAUCUGAUACUAUCAGACGUGAUAAAAAGAUCUUUCAUUUGAAGAGUGAAACCAUUGUGAGGAACGUCAAAGCGGUCUACAACAAGCUCCGUGUGUUCCCAGACUAUACAACUCGCCCUUAUGGAUAUUAAAUCAGAUUAAGGGUUUGAUGGCAGACUGCAGCACCUUUUUAGCAUGGUCGUCAGUGGCCCCAGUAACUGCAGAAAGACUUUUUCUUUUUCUUUUUUUUCUUUUUUUUUGGUCAAAAAUGUUGUUGAAAAUGCUUCCAGGAUUAUUUCACAUAGUAUUGAUAGCAUUGUGUAUAUACAUAUGUAUGUAUAUACUCAUGCUGGCAGCCGCUAUAUAACCAUUUUCUUCAGAUAAGAGACAUUAACUUUGUGGUAUGCCUACCUACAGACAAGAACAAUUUGCUAAUUAUAGAUAAUUUAAUGAAUGAUGCCGCUAAUAAUGUAAAAGUACAAAAUAUGUUCAUGAAAUAUGUGCAUCAUAGGAAUUUGAGUUGUAUAUAUCUAGUUCAGAAUUUGUUUUAUUCAAGGAAAAUCCAGUAGAACCAUUUCCUUGAACACUAACUUACCUAAUUUUGUUUAACCCUAGAGAUAAAUAGAACCAAUUUACUGUCAGACCAUCCUGUUGCUUAUAUCCCAAAGCAAAAAACACUGAAGAGGUGAAAGGAUGGCAUUGCGCAUGCAGGGGAAUCGAUCUCUGUUUGCACUUUAUAUACAAGUCACCCCCUAGCCUGCGCAGACUUAUUAUUAGUAAUGCAAACAUAGAUUUCAUUAAUGCAUUGUGAGAUAGCCUUUAACGUACUGCAAGGCAGAUCAUUAGUACAAACAACCAAAAAAGGAAGAAAAAAAAAACAAUCAGACUGAUCGCUGACAAAAAGAUCAAAACUUUGAAAACCCUUUCGUAACCUGUCUGAUUGCAAACAGGUGAACAUGGAGCAUGUGCAAAAGAUGUUUUUGGUACCCCAACAUCAAUUGGACUUAUUAAAGCAACAGCAUGCAGGAACCAUCAGGAAUGGAGAGCUUAUUUUAUCAGUGCUGAACCGCUCGCCAGAUUUGAUUUCUUACAAUGACAAUGGUGAAAUUGUUGUUGAUAAACGCACCAUCCUGCAUUCUCGCAUUUAUGAUCUGAUUAAAGCAGUGACAACUACACACAACAUUUCUGAGGGUUUGAGACCUAUUGGCUGGAAAGAAUACAUGGAGCGGACUGUCGAGGCUUAGUACAUUAAAAAAAUAAAACAACUGGAUUUUUUAAUUCAGAGCCUUUUUUAUGAUUAAAAUGUUGGGGUUUUUCUUUUAUUUCAGCUAAAAGUGUUUGUUGGUUGUUUUUCACUUAUUACCGCUAAAAUAUUGAAUUUUCUUUUAUUUCAGCUAAAAUGGCUAUGAUGUGAAUGUAUAAUAUACAUUAAAAAUUGAUAAUAAAUAAUGCUGACUCGAUUAAAUCAUGCCCUCUUAUUAUGUUAUUAUUCUCAUUAGUACAUAUCAG
ensembl:lncRNA